CCUAACACAUGCAAGGUCGAGGGGCAUCAUGGCGUAGCAAUACGCUGAUGGCGACCGGCGCACGGGUGAGUAACGCGUAUGCAACCUGCCUAUAACUGGGGAAUAGCUCCCUGAAAGGGGAAUUAACACCGCAUAACACUAUUGAUUCGCAUGGAUUGGUAGUUAAAUGUAGCGAUACAGGUUAUAGAUGGGCAUGCGUGACAUUAGCUAGUUGGUGAGGUAACGGCUCACCAAGGCUACGAUGUCUAGGGGUUCUGAGAGGAAGGUCCCCCACACUGGUACUGAGACACGGACCAGACUCCUACGGGAGGCAGCAGUGAGGAAUAUUGGUCAAUGGGCGCAAGCCUGAACCAGCCAUGUCGCGUGCAGGAAGACUGCCCUAUGGGUUGUAAACUGCUUUUAUAGUAGAAGAAACACAUCUACGUGUAGAUGUCUGCCAGUAUACUAUGAAUAAGCAUCGGCUAACUCCGUG
rnacentral:rRNA from 1 species